UACGAAGGGGGCUAGCGUUGCUCGGAAUCACUGGGCGUAAAGCGCACAUAGGCGGCUUUUUAAGUCAGGGGUGAAAUCCUGGAGCUCAACUCCAGAACUGCCUUUGAUACUGAGAAGCUUGAGUCCGGGAGAGGUGAGUGGAACUGCGAGUGUAGAGGUGAAAUUCGUAGAUAUUCGCAAGAACACCAGUGGCGAAGGCGGCUCACUGGCCCGGUACUGACGCUGAGGUGCGAAAGCGUGGGGAGCAAACAGG
rnacentral:rRNA from 1 species